UCUUUAAGAAUCAACCCGGAGUCCCCAAUAGCCCGAGCGCCUCUCCUUCUCACGAGCGGAUCCGCCGCUGCCCUCGCCCCCGUCGUCGCCCCACCACUGCUCGCCGAUCCGCCGACUCCAUCGCCGUUCCUCUCUGGCCUCCGCCACCGCCGGCUCUCUCCGCCCUCCGUCGCGCUGUUCUUCUUCCUCUCCCCAUCCUCUCCUAAUCUUCUCCGGCGCGCGCACUCGCGGAUGCAGGCGAAUGGCUCGGGCAGGAGACGUGGCUCACAACGGCGGCGUCUCUCCUCGGGAGGAGCUCGGGCAUUGAGGUCGGGGUGUGCGCUGCCCCUAGGACGGAGUCCACCUACCCGUGCUGGUCAUGGUCCACCACCACCAUGCCUUCAAUCCGACCUCCACCACUCCAGCAAGCACGAGCAUCGCAAUGGCCACGGUUUGUAUGCUAAGAUGAACUUGAGUGACGAGGUUGAUUUGGAAGAUCAUGUCUCCAGACAGGAUAAAGUCAGUGCUGCUAUGUGAGUUGAUUUGCAAGAUUGUGUCCAAAUAGGAUAAAAUCAAUCCUGAUGAUGUGAGUGCCUUUUCAUUAUCUUGAACAUUCUUUUUCACUUGUACAACUUCAGCAUAGGAAAUUUCAUUGCCUCAGCUUAAUUAGAAAAUGAUAAUGAUUUCUAAACCAUUUACUCUUAAAAGCUUAUCAUAGCAAAUGCGGAAAAUGAAUGAGAUCAGGAAGGUAGGCGGACGACUUGACCAUAAGGUCGGAUGUUUUCCUGAGUAGUAAGCAGCAGAUCUGCCUUUCUUGGGGGAAAGCCGGUGGCCCUUUUGUCAUGUUAAUUCUUUUGACGGGUGCCCUUCUGCUCACCAUACAUUUGUUUCAUAUAUAUUGACACCUAUAAUAGUAGUAGCAACGCCUGAUUAUGAGAUGUUAUGCAAUUGCUUGUGUAAAUUAGGCAGGCCUUUUCUACCUCCUCCUGUGUGUUAUUCACUGUGACAUUCGUUUUCAGUUUGCUGCUAUUUAACAGGAAGCUAGCAUGCCUGUUGUCUGCAAAAAUCGGUAAUGUUAUCCUGCCCAAAGACUUCGAGAAGGGUUACUGAACCAACGUCAAGAAGCCUUAGACAGACUUCGACUUCUACAAAUGAGGCAACAAACUAUUAAUGAGGAUGCUUUAUUUCCUAAGGGCAACAAUUAUUAACACUAGAGUUAAAUUUGUUGACGGUCGCGUCCGACAGUAAUAUCCCUGUAUCUUGGUGCUCCUGUAGUUUGCACAUUCAAUCUCACCAUUGUUGUUAAGCUACUUGCCUACACAAAGCGUCAUGGGAGUUGCUUCCCUGUGAGAGAGAAGAGUUCAAAAAGGGAGAGAGCAAAGAAGAAGGAAAAGGAGAGGGCAGUGGGGUCAUGCGGAGACUGUGGCCGGUGAGGCAUAACUGGAAGUUUCUCUAAUGGUUGACAACAAGGUUGCAGAAGGUGAUGUACCAAUUGCAUCACAUGGAGCUGAAAUUGAAAUGUACAAGGAGCUUGAACCAUCGACUCGCUUACUGAUCUUGAAAGCGAUAUGCGACAUACGUGUCGAGGUUCGUGCUAUUACCAUCCUAGGGAGGCAAUGCAGUUUUUCAAAGUGCCAAUCUUUUCAGAUGUGCAUUGCGGUAGAGAACUGUUACACCAUUUUGAUGUUGUAUGUCCCAUAUGUGUUUUGUGUUGCGUAUAUCAAUCCUAACUAUGACUGACGGUUUGAACAGA